rnacentral:rRNA from 1 species
GAUGAACGCUGGCGGCGUGCUUAACACAUGCAAGUCGAACGGAAAGGCCCCUGCUUGCAGGGGUACUCGAGUGGCGAACGGGUGAGUAACACGUGGGUGAUCUGCCCUGCACUUCGGGAUAAGCCUGGGAAACUGGGUCUAAUACCGGAUAGGACGAUGGUUUGGAUGCCAUUGUGGAAAGUUUUUUCGGUGUGGGAUGAGCUCGCGGCCUAUCAGCUUGUUGGUGGGGUAAUGGCCUACCAAGGCGUCGACGGGUAGCCGGCCUGAGAGGGUGUACGGCCACAUUGGGACUGAGGUACGGCCCAGACUGAUACGGGGGGCAGGAGUGGGGAAUAUAGCACAAUGGGCGGAAGCCUGAUGCAGCGACGCCGCGUGGGGAUGACGGCCUUCGGGUUGUAAACUCCUUUCGCUAGGGACGAAGCGCAAGUGACGGUACCUGGAGAAGAAGCACCGGCUAACUACGUG